AUACGUAGGGGGCGAGCGUUGUCCGGAAUUACUGGGCGUAAAGGGCGUGUAGGCGGCUGGGUAUGUCAGGUGUGAAAAGCCAGAGCUUAACUGUGGCAUUGCACAUGAAACUGCUCAGCUUGAGUGCAGGAGAGGGAAGUGGAAUUCCUAGUGUAGCGGUGAAAUGCGUAGAUAUUAGGAGGAACACCAGUGGCGAAGGCGACUUCCUGGACUGUAACUGACGCUGAGGCGCGAAAGCGUGGGUAGCGAACAGGAUUAGAUACCCUGGUAGUCCACGCUGUAAACGAUGGGUACUAGGUGUGGGUAGUUCACUCUAUCCGUGCCGCAGCAAACGCAAUAAGUACCCCGCCUGGGGAGUACGGCCGCAAGGUUGAA
rnacentral:rRNA from 1 species